AAAACUUUACAAUGCGGGAAACCGUGAUAAGGGGACACCGAGUGCUAGCAUCAUAUGCUGGCUGUCCAGGUGUGUAAAAUACACCUGUUAGCAAGGGCCGGGCAAGACCGGUGCCAGCCGCCGCGGUAACACCGGCGGCCCGAGUGGUGAUCGUGAUUAUUGGGUCUAAAGGGUCCGUAGCCGGUUUGGUCAGUCCUCCGGGAAAUCUGAUAGCUCAACUAUUAGGCUUUCGGGGGAUACUGCCAGACUUGGAACCGGGAGAGGUAAGAGGUACUACAGGGGUAGGAGUGAAAUCUUGUAAUCCCUGUGGGACCACCUGUGGCGAAGGCGUCUUACCAGAACGGGUUCGACGGUGAGGGACGAAAGCUGGGGGCACGAACCGGAUUAGAUACCCGGGUAGUCCCAGCCGUAAACGAUGCUCGCUAGGUGUCAGGCAUGGCGCGACCGUGUCUGGUGCCGCAGGGAAGCCGUGAAGCGAGCCACCUGGGAAGUACGGCCGCAAGGCUGAAACUUAAAGGAAUUGGCGGGGGAGCACAACAACGGGUGGAGCNUGCGGUUUAAUUGGACUCAACGCCGGACAACUCACCGGGGACGACAGCAAUAUGUAGGUCAGGCUGAAGACCUUACCUGAAUCGCUGAGAGGAGGUGCAUGGCCGUCGCCAGUUCGUACUGUGAAGCAUCCUGUUAAGUCAGGCAACGAGCGAGACCCGUGCCCACUGUUACCAGCAUAUCCUCCGGGAUGAUGGGUACUCUGUGGGGACCGCCGGUGUUAAAUCGGAGGAAGGUGCGGGCCACGGUAGGUCAGUAUGCCCCGAAUUUCCCGGGCUACACGCGGGCUACAAUGAAUGGGACAAUGGGUCCCUCCCCUGAAAAGGGCUGGUAAUCUCACAAACCCAUCCUUAGUUCGGAUCGAGGGCUGUAACUCGCCCUCGUGAAGCUGGAAUCCGUAGUAAUCGCGUUUCAAUAUAGCGCGGUGAAUACGUCCCUGCUCC
rnacentral:rRNA from 1 species